UGCGCGAGCUGCUCCUUGACUGCAAAGCUAGAGGAGUGAUGCGUUAUUCUGACGGGUACAAACACGAAGUUAAAACGGAAAAUAUUUGAAAGCACUUACGAGGAUACGUGAUCAGAUAGGAUUAGAUUCAGUUUGGAUGCAUUAUUCUGGUAUUUUUUGGGAAGGGUCAGCCUUAGAGCCUUAAUGGACGCUUCGCCACUGCACGUGAAGUAAACAGUCAAUCUUUCUUUCCGAGAAUCUUACGUCUACGACUGACCGCUCUAGUACUUAUCUAUGAGCCGCGACCCACACAUGUCCGCGACCUGUUGAACCGCAUUCGGAUAACACUUGACGAGCAGACGUGAUUCUGAAUUGACUCCAGUUUUAUCUGGGACGCCAUGGCUCGCACCACGAUCGCCCUGCUGCUGUUUGCUCUGCUCGUCGCCACAGUGGCCGUGGCGCUAGUGUCGGCCGGCGGAGACAUCCCCAGCAGCGCCAACUGCCCGCUCGGCUACGUCGAACGCAAGGGGCGCUGCGUGUCCAGUAUCACCAAGGUGGUGGAGGUAUCUACGAAGAAGCCCUGAACAUGUGAUGCAGUUAAUCCUUUGUAAAUUGAAAAUUGAUCACAACUACCCAAUAUGUCAUCUGACGGUGAGGAGUGUACAGGCCUGUCACUGAGAAAUCUCGUACAUACUUUGUUGUGGACGGCAAUUGUGUUCGAAGUAUCUCGGAAGAAAUUUUCGAAUAUGUUCGAAAACAAAUUUGAUUUUAUAUGUAUGCAUCAUUACUUUGUUAAUUAAAGUACGAUUAUGAAA